UAAAACUAAUGUAACUAUCUAAGUCUUGGUUUUAGCACAGAGAAGAGAAGACUGCUGCCAAACGGAGCUUACGAGAAAAUAAAAGGCUGGAGAUCAUUAAAAGAUGAGUUCUAACGGAUACAAAGUCUAGAGCAGUGCAACAACCCCAGACAACUCAAAUUAUAGUUUUAGAUGAGCAUGAAGAGAUAAGAGGGGUAGAUAGAGGUUGGAUAAAAGUAACUUUGAAACCUUUACUCACAUUCACGAGUGUGAGAAAACGAGCAAACUAUUUUGACCUACUCACCAAUUCUCACAUUAACCUGUUUAGUUUUGGGAAAUCGAUAAUACAAGAAUAUUUUGUACUUGAGAGUGUAAGAAAACGAUCACACUGUUUUAACUUGUUGACCUAACUCACAUUAACCUCAUUUCAAUCGAUUUAGUCAUGUUCUCAAAACUUAUAGUGGCAAAUAUUGUAUUUACAACAUGAAGGUUGUAAGAUUAACCUAAAUAGUGCUUCUACCAUACAUUUGUGUAUAGUAUACCUUAUUUUCCAAGUGUAUCAUAUUUCUUAAUAUUCGACUCUUAAACGACUAUCCAACCGUUAAUUUUUUUUAUUUAUAUAUUUAAU
rnacentral:lncRNA from 1 species